GUUCGAGCAAAAUUGAAGCUUCUUAUGACCGAUGAAAAAGUAACAUUGAAUGAAACCAAGUACACCAAAAAAAUGCUCACGCCUUGUUAUCUUUUUGUCAGUGCUCUUUUGAGAAACAGGGUAGAA
ensembl:ncRNA K09E10.5 ncRNA